GCUUUUCUCCAACUGCAACUCCGUGAGUUGCUGUGGGUGGCGCUACUUCUGUAAUACUUUCUCUUACACGGUCAUGUGUUUGUGUUAGUGCAUCAAAAUGCCGGAUUUGCUUAAUCAGUGCCUGGUGAUAAUACAGCCACAGAAUGAGAGGGCUCUUAUUCCAUUUGCUUCUGCAGAUCACAGGUCCACUCCACAGGCAGGAAAAGUCAACAGGGUUUCCUGCUAGACCGGAGGAGGAAGUCAACCCCAAGGGAAGCCAUGCCACAGUGAUUCCUGAAAUGGGACCAAUCCCGGUCGGUGACCAGCCCUGAAGGUGAGACACCUGCAGAAGCUGAGGAGUGUGGCACACCUGCUGGCCCUUCCUGAUAGAGCCACAUGGGACUCAGCCUGGAGCAGCCUCUGGCUACAGCAUCCUUUCAAUAUAAAAUACCAAUGGGGAAGAAAUGGCAAGAUGAAGAUGGCUGAGAAUGUGAAGAAGUUGGAGGAGAAGAAGCAUGCCGGUUUCUACGUGGAGGGAGAGCCUGGACUCCAUCAAAGGCAUUCAUUUGGGAAAGAGGAAAGCAUAGCAAGACAUCUCCUGCUUCCUCCCCCAGCUUCCCCAACUCAAUAACGGCUGCUCCAUGGCAGCCUGCCCUCACGUGGAGCAAGUGGUGAACCUUUUAGAAGGCGUCCUUGCCUUCUGAAUCCAGAAGAUGGUGCCAGAAAUGAGUGCGACUGCGCAUGAUGUUACAUACAAUAGACAAUAAAUGCCAAAUGACCAAAGUCACAGGUUUACAGAGCUCUCCUCCAGAAGCACAUGUAAUGAAUGAAGACACGCUGUUAGACAUGCUGAUUCACUGGGACACGUGAGUUCGAAAAUUUAUCUAGCAGGAGCUGUUCCAGGCAUAUGCAACAGUGGAUGAGAACAGCGGCUUUCCCUGGGAAAAUGAGUGUGCCCCACACUGCAGUCUGUGCUGGCUCUAAGUCACAUGCUCAGUAAGCUACUGCUUAAGGCAGACUCAGCUGGAAACUUCCCCUGGCAGCCAGGAGGGCUGUGGCUUCCGCACUGCAGUCCCACCUGCUGGGUCCUUACUCUGGGUCUUUGCCUUCUCCUCCCCCUGAGAUCCAGUGCUGCUCUUCCUGAGGUGACAAGGGGACUACCGUGUACCACAGGGCUCCCAGACAGUAGUAACCACCCAGGCCAUUGC
rnacentral:lncRNA from 1 species